GAUGAACGCUGGCGGCGUGCCUAAUACAUGCAAGUCGAGCGAACAGAUAAGGAGCUUGCUCCUUUGACGUUAGCGGCGGACGGGUGAGUAACACGUGGGUAACCUAUCUAUAAGACUGGAAUAACUCCGGGAAACCGGGGCUAAUGCCGGAUAACAUGUUGAACCGCAUGGUUCUACAGAGAAAGGCGGCUUUGCUGUCACUUAUAGAUGGACCCGCGCCGGAUUAGCUAGUUGGUGAGGUAACGGCUCACCAAGGCAACGAUACGUAGCCGACCUGAGAGGGUGAUCAGCCACACUGGAACUGAGACACGGUCCAGACUCCUACGGGAGGCAGCAGUAGGGAAUCUUCCGCAAUGGGCGAAAGCCUGACGGAGCAACGCCGCGUGAGUGAUGAAGGUCUUCGGAUCGUAAAACUCUGUUAUUAGGGAAGAACAAAUGCGUAAGUAACUGUGCGCGUCUUGACGGUACCUAAUCAGAAAGCCACGGCUAACUACGUG
rnacentral:rRNA from 1 species